AAAAAUAAAAAAAGACUGGGACCCUCUGCUCCAAGUAUUAAGGGAAGAAUUAGAUGGGAGUAAAAUCUGUCACCCCUUCACUUCUCCCUGGGGACCCACUCUGCAAGAAAAUCCUCUUUAGCCUCUGCUUAAGCCUUGCAGUCCACAGAGACCACCUGAGAAGGCCUAGAAAGUCCAGCACCUCUCACCUGGAGAGACACCAGCACCGCUGCACAAUGGAAUGGCCGAGAAAGAGGGCACUUGAUGAAGUUAAAAGGCAAACAAUUUAAAAUUUAAAAGAGAUUAAGCAGGGAAAACGGGAUUUAAUGAUCAGCUUUUGCCACUGUGAACUAACUGAACCCACUGGCAUGGAGACUAAUAGUUUAAUAUGUUGUUCAACAAGGAUGAGACAUCUGUGUGAGUAAUAAGGGCACCUGUAGUUAUGGUGACAAGGGUAAAAUUACCCUAGCCACAGGGCCUCGACCUUGGGGGCGGCACUUCACUCAUUUCCCAAGUACGGUCAGGGCCAGCCACUCAGUGCUUCCCAGCCUCAGGAGAAGCAAUUUUCAUGAGAAGAAAGGGGCCUGGAGAUGUGUAAGUGGAAGAAAUCCUUGGAGAGCAAGCGGCAAGAAAGGUGAGACAGACGCUUGCAGAUUUAACAUGAACAGGGCAGCAGGGCCCUCCAGGUACCCCUGGCCCAGGCCGAGGAAGAGCCUCCUCCAAAGGACUUGAGAGGAAUGACUACCAUAUAUUAUUAUCUCUUGCUAAAGAGUUAUAUUAGUUCAUUUUCACACUGCUAUAAAGACAUACCUGAGACUGGGUAAUUUAUAAAGAAAAGAGAUUUAAUUAACUCACAGUUCCGCAGGGCUAGGGAGGCCUCAGGAAACUUACAAUCAUAGCAGAAGGGGAAGAGACAUGUCUUAUGUGGGAGCAGGUGAGAGAGAGUGUAUGUGGGGAAGUGAAGG